AAAUGCGAGCGGAGGGAGGGAGGCACAGGCAGCCCUUCCUUGGUCGCCUCGGAGACCAGCCCAGGAGCGUGUGCCUAACCUGGAGAAGGAAGGCAGCUUGACAACACUUGGAGUCCCGGGACCAAGGUUUUUAGGCUUCUCUGCCCAAAAAUGCUGGAGCUUCACCAACUACAACUCCCAUGGUUCCAUAGCAUUGAGUCAGGGCGUCAAACGGCAUGAAUUCCACAGUGUAGAGCAAGCUUGCACAAUCUGUGGCCCUCCAGGUGUUUAGGACUUCAGCUCCCAGAAUCCCUGACCAUGCUGGCCAGGGCUUCUGAGAGUUGGAGUGCCAACUGUUGGAAAUAGAAACCUCCCAAGCCUUUCACUGUUCAUUUUUUAAUCUAUAUACUAUAUUUGCUAACUUGUAUUCUAUGUGUAUGUUGAUUUGCCAGUUUGACUGUACCUCUUUGGUGUGGUAGGGGUUAAAGACAUGUGAUUGUACUGAGCUUGUUCAGACUCAGGACUCCAUUUUGUAUUCAUGUGUUUGCAUCAGACCUCAGUGGAGGUGGAUGCAUGUUGCUGUUUGGACUUCAGCAGAGAAGUAUGACUUAUGGACUUCAGUUAUGAUUGCCAUUUAUUUCCAAAGGGAUAUGUGCCCAGAGACUGGAUGUAGUUAUUUCCAAUACAACUCCCUGGAGGGCCACAGGUUGUGCAGGCCUGGUGUAGAGGAACCCUGUGUGGAUCGUUUUCCUAAACCCGCCCAACAUCGAGGGUGGGAUGCUUCACAUCAGCACUGCGAUAUUCGUCUUUCUGCUUUGCAAGUGCUUUGGACUACUGCUGCCACCAGCGGCAUCCGACAAGCCAAUGCUCGGGCGUGAUGGGGGAGGGGGUCCUGCGUGGGUCUAUUUCCCUGCCAGGGGAGGGGGUGCCACGGGGCGCCUCUUUAGCCAGGAGCAUGGAUGGGAAACUCUUCGCCGUGGAACCUGCUGCUUCCUUCUGGAAGCCCCAAACUAGCAAAGCCCUCGAGAGGGAAGGAGAGAGAGGGAAGCGGGAUUUUCCAGGAUGUAAACGCCACUCCGCGAAUCCUCUGGGAUCCGCCAAAGAAAGGAAGAUUGAGGUUGAAAGGAUUUCGUUUUAAUUUAGCCAUUUGGAUCAAGAAUGAGAUCAAGGUGCUGGCUGAAUCCAGGAGGCUUACGGAGCUUCCUUUAUUCGGUGGGAUUAUUUUUUCAAGCAGAAUCAACCGAGAAGAGGCAGGAGAUGAGCCAGCCCUCCUCCUCCUCCUCCUCCUCCCCCCAAUGUCUCCUCCUCCUUCUCCCAACGUCUCCUUUCGCCAGAGAAGAAGCAAGACCUGACAAGAGCUCCACCGCAUUUUUAUUCUGCCUGGGAAAAUUGUGCCCUCCCUCUCCAUUCUGUAGAACAGAGGGAUUUCAGGCAGAAGCAUGGUCGACCAAAUGUUUGGAUACAUGGGUUUCCUUUGGAUCAGAGCAGCAGGGAGGGAGAGAGGGAGGGAGAAAACAAUGCAUGUUCCGCCAAUGGUUAAUGGAGAUUGGUCCACCUGACCCAGUGUGUAACUAACUACACUGUGGAAUAAAUGCAGUUUAACACCACUUUGAGGUCAUAGGAGUUGUAAUUUGGUGGAACACCAUCACAAUUUGGCAUGGGAGACUGAAGGCUUCCUCUACCUUUACAACAAUUUGAGAAUGACGCUAUGUCCGGGUUGCUGUGAGUUUUCUGGACUGUAUGGCCAUGUUCCAGAAGUAUUGUAUCCUGGCGUUUCACCCACAUAAACACCAGGAGAGAAUGCUUCUGGAACAUGGCCAUACCGCCCGGAUCACUCAAGCAACCCAGUGACUCCAACCAUGAAAGCCUUCAAGGACAAUAUGAAGCUAUGUCCAUUCCUGAGGAGUUAAAAAGUAGAUUUGUUAAGGACACUGUCAUGCCACGAGCAGGCAAAACAUUACCUGCUGCCCUGUCUCUUUAAGGUUCCAAAGGGGCGGAGCUUAGCCUUGGCUCCUGCCAGCCUGAAAUGGCAGUUAUUUUUGUCAGUUAGAAUUUGUCAGUUGGUGAAGCACUGGAAGGAAGUGUAGGAAGUAAAAGGAUCACAGAAAUUCACGUCACGUUGGAACUGUAUUCAAAUUAGAUUAAAAAGCCAUAGACUACAGCAAUAGAGAAAGCCAUGUCAACAACACUGCAUUGAAGUCAUCUCAAAGAUACAAAGAAUCCAGUCAUAACAUGACUUUAUACUCUGUGGCAGAACUGCAUAGACUCAAAGAUUUCUUUCCUCACAAGAGACUUCAUAGUGGCAUCAAGAGGAAAAGAGAUCAAUUUUGUCUAUUAAUAAAAUAUUUUGUUUCACAA